AUUGAACGCUGGCGGCAGGCCUAACACAUGCAAGUCGAACGAGUGGCGGACGGGUGAGUAAUGUCUGGGAAACUGCCUGAUGGAGGGGGAUAACUCCUGGAAACGGUAGCUAAUACCGCAUACCAUCAGCUUUUCCCAGAUGGGAUUAGCUAGUUGGUGGGGUAACGGCUCACCAAGGCGAAGAUCCCUAGCUGGUCUGAGAGGAUGACCAGCCACACGGGAACGGAGACACGGUCCAGACUCCUACGGGAGGUAGCAGUGGGGAAUAUUGCACAAUGGGCGCAAGCCUGAUGCAGCCAUGCCGCGUGUAUGAAGAAGGCCUUCGGGUUGUAAAGUACUGUCAGCGGGGAGGCGUUACCCGAAGAAGAAGCAACGGCUAACUCCGUGCCAGCAGCCGCGGUAAUAC
rnacentral:rRNA from 1 species